GACGAACGCUGGCGGCGCGCUUAACACAUGCAAGUCGAGCGAGAACCAGGGCUUCGGCCCUGGGGACAGCGGCGAACGGGUGAGUAACACGUGGGUAACCUGCCCUCGGCACCGGAAUAGCCCGGGGAAACCCGGAUUAAUGCUGGAUAGCCUCACGGACUCUCGGGUCUGUGAGAAAAGGCAGCUUCGGCUUCCGGCUGAGGAUGGGCCCGCGGCCGAUUAGCUUGUUGGUGAGGAACGGCUCACCAAGGCGACGAUCGGUAGCUGGUCUGAGAGGACGAUCAGCCACACUGGGACUGAGACACGGCCCAGACUCCUACGGGAGGCAGCAGUGGGGAAUCUUGCGCAAUGGGCGAAAGCCUGACGCAGCGACGCCGCGUGC
rnacentral:rRNA from 1 species